rnacentral:rRNA from 1 species
UACGGGGGGGGCUAGCGUUGUUCGGAAUUACUGGGCGUAAAGGGCGCGUAGGCGGCCCUCUAAGUCAGACGUGAAAUCCCUCGGCUCAACCGGGGAACUGCGUCUGAUACUGGAGGGCUUGAAUCCGGGAGAGGGAUGUGGAAUUCCAGGUGUAGCGGUGAAAUGCGUAGAUAUCUGGAGGAACACCGGUGGCGAAGGCGGCGUUCUGGACUGCAACUGACACUGAAAAACGAAAGCCAGGGGAGCAAACGGG